rnacentral:lncRNA from 1 species
UAGGAAGGCCGUUUUCACAAUACGUGUAGCUUCGUCGUUGUUGUUACCUUCGGUUCUUCCCCUUUAGUUCCCCAAAGGGGAAGAACUAAAGGGGAUGAAAAGUAACGCUUUCCUUGUCCCCUCUGGGUUACCUUCCCCUUCCCCUUUGGUAUCCCCGAAGGGGAACAUCCCCUAAAGUUCUUCCCCCUAAAGGGGAACUUUAGUGUUCUUCUUUUUCCCCUAAAGGGGAACUAAAGUUCCCCUAAAGGGGAUAAACUAAAGGGGAACCCCUUUAGUGUGUUCCCCUUCGGGGAGACGAAGGGGUUCCCCUUUGGGGAAGAAAACGAAGGGGAUGACGAAGGGGUUCCCCUUUAGGGGAAGAAGUCAUCCCCUAAAGGGUAACUAAAGGGGAAGAAGGGUUCCCCUUUAGGGGAAGACUUUUGGUUCAUCCCCUAAAGGGGAACUAAAGAAGACAACCUUUUAGGG